GACGAACGCUGGCGGCGUGCCUAAUACAUGCAAGUCGAGCGCAGGAAGCCGUCUGAACCCUUCGGGGGGACGACGGUGGAAUGAGCGGCGGACGGGCGAGUAACACGUAAAGAACCUGCCCAUAGGUCUGGGAUAACCACGAGAAAUCGGGGCUAAUACCGGAUGUGUCAUCGGACCGCAUGGUCCGCUGAUGAAAGGCGCUCCGGCGUCGCCCAUGGAUGGCUUUGCGGUGCAUUAGCUAGUUGGUGGGGUAACGGCCCACCAAGGCGACGAUGCAUAGCCGACCUGGGAGGGUGAUCGGCCACACGGGGACUGAGACACGGCCCAGACUCCUACGGGAGGCAGCAGUAGGGAAUCUUCCACAAUGGACGAAAGUCUGAUGGAGCAACGCCGCGUGAACGAUGAAGGCUUUCGGGUCGUAAAGUUCUGUUGUAAGGGAAGAACAAGUGCCGCAGGCAAUGGCGGCACCUUGACGGUACCUUGCGAGAAAGCCACGGCUAACUACGUGCCAGCCGCCGCCGUAAGAC
rnacentral:rRNA from 1 species